rnacentral:rRNA from 1 species
UACGUAGGGUGCGAGCGUUAAUCGGAAUUACUGGGCGUAAAGCGUGCGCAGGCGGUUCGUUGUGUCGGCGGUGAAAGCCCCGGGCUUAACCUGGGAAUGGCCGUUGAAACUGGCGAACUGGAGUGUGGCAGAGGGGGUGGAAUUCCGCGUGUAGCAGUGAAAUGCGUAGAGAUGCGGAGGAACACCGAUGGCGAAGGCAGCCCCCUGGGCUAACACUGACGCCUCAGGCACGAAAGCGUGGGGAGCAAACAGG